rnacentral:rRNA from 1 species
AGUCGAACGGAUAUAGCACUAUAUUAGUGGCAAACGGGUGAGGAAUCGUUGAGGAAUCUCCCCCGCAGUAAGGAAUAACUUUGGGAAACUAAAGCUAAUGCCCUAUAUCACCGAUUUAUCGGGAAAGAUUUAUCGCUGUUGGAUGAGCCUCUAUCGGAUUAGCUAGUUGGUGGGGUAAUGGCCUACCAAGGCAAUGAUCCGUAGCUGGUCUUAGAGGAUGAUCAGCCCCCCUGGAACUGAGACACGGCCCAGACUCCUACGGGAGGCAGCAGUGGGGAAUAUUGGACAAUGGGCGCAAGCCUGAUCCAGCAAUACCGCGUGAGUGAUGACGGUCUUCCGAUUGUAAAGCUCUUUUAGUGAGGAAGAUAAUGACGGUACUCCCAGAAAAAGCACCGGCAAACUUCGUGCCAGCAGCCGCGGUAAUACGAAGGGUGCUAGCGUUGUUCGGAAUUAUUGGGCGUAAAGCGUACGUAGGCGGUUUGGUAAGUCAAUUGUGAAAGCCCUAAGCUCAACUUAGGAACUGCAAUCGAAACUGCCUUACUUGAGUUUGGUCGGGGAUGGUGGAAUUUCUAGUGUAGGGGUGAAAUCCGUAGAUAUUAGAAGGAAUAUCGGUGGCGAAGGCGACCAUCUAGGCCAAUACUGACGCUGAGGUACGAAAGCGUGGGGAGCAAACAGGAUUAGAUACCCUGGUAGUCCACGCAGUAAACGAUGAGUGCUAGUUGUCGGGACUUUGGGUCUCGGUGGCGAAGUUAACACGAUAAG